rnacentral:rRNA from 1 species
AGAGUUUGAUCCUGGCUCAGGACGAACGCUGGCGGCGUGCCUAAUACAUGCAAGUCGGGCGGAGUUUCCGCUUGGAAGCCUUCGGGCGGAAGGGCGGGAACUUAGCGGCGAACGGGUGAGUAACACGUGGGCAACCUGCCCGCAAGACGGGGAUAACUGGCGGAAACGUCAGCUAAUACCGGAUAGGUCAUCGGAGGGGCAUCCUUCUGAUGGGAAAGGCGGAGAAAUCUGCCGCUUGCGGAUGGGCCCGCGGCGCAUUAGCUGGUUGGCGGGGUAACGGCCCACCAAGGCGACGAUGCGUAGCCGACCUGAGAGGGUGACCGGCCACACUGGGACUGAGACACGGCCCAGACUCCUACGGGAGGCAGCAGUAGGGAAUCUUCGGCAAUGGGCGCAAGCCUGACCGAGCAACGCCGCGUGAGUGAGGAAGGCCUUCGGGUCGUAAAGCUCUGUUGCCAGGGAAGAAUUCCUUCAUGUUAACUGCAUGGGGGUUGA